rnacentral:rRNA from 1 species
CGGCGAGUGAAGCGGGAUGAGCUCAAGCUUAAAAUCUCCACUGCAAAUUUUGCAUGGCGAAUUGUAGUCUAUAGAGGCGUGAUUAGCGUAAGCACUUGGGGCAAGUUCCUUGGAAGAGGACAGCAUCGAGGGUGAUACUCCCGUUUAUCCCCGAGUUGCUUAUGCGUACAAUCCGUUUUCUUUGAGUCGCGUUGUUUGAGAAUGCAGCGCAAAGUAGGUGGUAAAUUCCAUCUAAAGCUAAAUAUUGGUGCGAGACCGAUAGCAAACAAGUACCGUGAGGGAAAGAUGAAAAGAACUCUGAAAAGAGAGUUAAAGAGUACCUGAAACUGCUGAAAGGUAACCAAAUCGUUUCCAGUGUCUAUAAUCCGUGGUAUAUUUCAUUGGCGGAUGUGUGCAUGCAUGUACUAUGGCAGCGGCUUUUUGCUGCGCCUUGUGCGUGUGUUGCACUUCCUCGCUGAUGCCCUGUACCAUGGUGGGACGUCAACGUCGGUUCGUAAAUUGCGGGAAAUGACUGCCGAGGAGGUAGGGCGAACGCUUGCGUUUGUCUGUUAUAUCUUGGCGGACGUAGUAGUCGCGGUUGGGACUGAGGUGCCUACAAUGUGCUUAUGAGUGGAAUUGAUUCUUCGUAUGCGCCGUGUGCGGAUAGCUUGCUAUGCGUGUGUGGCUGCGUGUGGAUUGA